CUGCAGUCAAUUAAGCCAACUGGGUUCCUCUGCCGGUAGGUGCCCAGUGUGUAAUGGCUGCGAACAGCAAUCUCCUCGGUAGUGUAUGUGGCCUGUUGCUUGUAUGGGCUGCCCCAAGGGACCUUUGAGACACUG
ensembl:snoRNA SNORA70 Small nucleolar RNA SNORA70